rnacentral:rRNA from 1 species
UACGGGGGGGGCAAGCGUUGUUCGGAAUUACUGGGCGUAAAGGGCUCGUAGGCGGCCAACUAAGUCAGACGUGAAAUCCCUCGGCUUAACCGGGGAACUGCAUCUGAUACUGGAUGGCUUGAGUUCGGGAGAGGGAUGCGGAAUUCCCGGUGUAGUGGUGGAAUGCGUAGAGAUCGGGAGGAACACCAGUGGCGAAAGCGGCUCUCUGGUCCAAAACUGACGCUGAGGGGCGAAAGCGUGGGGAGCGAACGGG